AUUAAGCCAUGCAUGUCUAAGUACACGCUCUCGCAAAGCAAAACCGCACACGGCUCAUUAGAUCGGUUAGUAUUUAUUUGAUCAAUGCCUUACAUGGAUAACUGUGGCAAUUCUAGAGCUAAUACAUGGAUCCCCGCACCGACCUCACGGGACGUGCGCAUUUGUCAGACUAAAAACCAAUCGGCUCUCGGGCCGUUCAGUGGUGAACCAUGAUAACCUCUACGCUGACCGCACGGUCUAGAACCGGCGGCCUAUCUUUCGAAUGUCCGCCUUAUCAACUUUCGAUGGUAGAUCAAGUGCCUACCAUGGUGAUAACGGGUAACGGGGAAUCAGGGUUUGAUUCCGGAGAGGGAGCCUGAGAAACGGCUACCACAUCCAAGGAAGGCAGCAGGCACGCAAAUUACCCACUCCCGGCACGGGGAGGUAGUGACAAGAAAUAACAAUACAGGACUCUUUCGAGGCCCUGUAAUUGGAAUGAGUACACUUUAAAUCCUUUAACGAGGAUCUAUUGGAGGACAAGUCUGGUGCCAGCAGCCGCGGUAAUUCCAGCUCCAAUAGCGUAUAUUAAUGCUGCUGCAGUUAAAAAGCUCGUAGUUGGAUCUGGCGUACGGGCGUGUGGUCCGCCUUCAGGCGGCUACUGCACGUCCCGACGUACCUCUCGGCUUUCCCUAGUUGCUCUUAACUGAGUGACUAGGGUUACCGGAAUGUUUACUUUGAAAAAAUUAGAGUGUUCAAAGCAGGCGAUUGCCUGAAUAGUGGUGCAUGGAAUAAUGGAACAAGACCUCGGUUCUAUUUUGUUGGUUUCCGGAACACGAGGUAAUGAUUAAGAGGGACUGCGGGGGCCAUCCGUACUGCUGCGUUAGAGGUGAAAUUCUUGGAUCGCAGCAAGACGAACAACGGCGAAGGCAUUUGGCAACAAUGUCUUCCUUAAUCAAGAGCGAUAGUCGGAGGUUCGAAGGCGAUCAGAUACCGCCCUAGUUCCGACCAUAAACGAUGCCGACUGACAAUCCGCAGGAGUUAUUACAAUGACUCUGCGGGCAGCUUCCCGGGAAACCUUAAGUUCGUGGGUUCCGGGGGGAGUAUGGUUGCAAAGCUGAAACUUAAAGGAAUUGACGGAAGGGCACCACCAGGAGUGGAGCCUGCGGCUUAAUUUGACUCAACACGGGAAACCUCACCCGGUCCGGACAGCGUUAGGAUUGACAGAUUGAGAGCUCUUUCUUGAUUCGUUGGUUGGUGGUGCA
rnacentral:rRNA from 1 species